rfam:Allomyces macrogynus ATCC 38327 genomic scaffold supercont3.47, whole genome shotgun sequence.
GACAACAUGGCCGAGUGGUUAAGGCGAUCGACUACUAAUCGAUUACCCUAGUGGUGCGCAGGUUCGAACCCUGCUGUUGUCG